rnacentral:rRNA from 1 species
GACGAACGCUGGCGGCGUGCUUAACACAUGCAAGUCGAACGGAGUGGCGAACGGGUGAGUAACACGUGGGUGACCUGCCCUGCAUUUCGGGACAAGCCUGAGAAAUUGGGCCUAAUACCGGUUAGUGGGGGAGGGGCCCGCGGCCUAUCAGCUUGUGGGUGGGGUAAUGGCCUACCAAGGCGGCGACGGGUAGCCGGCCUGAGAGGGUGGACGGCCACAUUGGGACUGAGAGACGGCCCAGACGCCUACGGGAGGCAGCAGUGGGGAAGAUUGCACAAUGGGCGGAAGCCUGAUGCAGCGACGCCGGGUGGGGGAUGACGGCCUUCGGGUUGUAAACUCCUUUCACCAUCGACGCGGUAGAUGGAGAAGAAGCACCGGCUAACUACGUGCCAGCAGCCGCGGUAAUUC